rnacentral:rRNA from 1 species
GGGGAAGACGGUUGAAGAAAGAAAAUCAAAGAAUUGAAGGGGGGCCGCCCAAGCGGGGAGCAUGUGGUUAAUUUGAAGCAAAGCGAAGAACCUUACCAGGUCUUGACUUCUUUGACACCCCUAGAGAUAGGCUUCCCCUUCGGGGGCAGAGUGACAGGUGGUGCAUGGUUGUCGUCAGCUCGUGUCGUGAGAUGUUGGGUUAAGUCCCGCAACGCAACCCUUGAUCUUAGUUGCCAGCAUUCAGUUGGGCACUCUAAGGUGACUGCCGGUGACAAACCGGAGGAAGGUGGGGAUGACGUCAAAUCAUCAUGCCCCUUAUGACCUGGGCUACACACGUGCUACAAUGGACAGAACAAAGGGCAGCGAGACCGCGAGGUUAAGCCAAUCCCACAAAUCUGUUCUCAGUUCGGAUCGCAGUCUGCAACUCGACUGCGGAAGCUGAACGCAUAGAGGUACUUUUUUUGU